GGACUUUAAUGAAGCCAGGUGGGACACAUUUAAAUAGGAAUGUGCUGAACUAACUCAUGAAGAGCAAAGCCAGCUGUCAGCAGGCUUAAUGAAAGGUUAACAGGGAUGCGGCAAUGGUGGCUGGGGAGACGUCUUGUCUCUCUGAAGAAAACAAAAAGUUGGGAAGCUGGCUCCCUGGGUGGAGGCAAAAGCAGGAGGAGGAAGUCACUUGUAACCGAGAGACCGGGUCUGAAACCGAGUUUCAUUUAGAUGUGUAAACAUGUUACAGUCUAACAAAAGAGGGAAAAAAAAGCAUUGUGAGUUCCCAGCUUUCUGAUCAUCAAAGGACCGCAAGGGGACGCCUCCCCCCAACAAGAUGAAUGCUAAUGCUGUUACCAGAAGGACCCUGGGAGCCCUGGAGAUGGCUGCUCACAAAACAAGGUCUCUGGUUCAGUAGAGGCAAAGCUGCUGCCCUGAAACUAAGAAUGCUUGCGGCCCAGGAGUUAGAAAAGCUGAAGAGGAGUCCAUUGGGAGCCGGAGGGUCUAAUGACGGGGCUGCCCUACACUAAAAGAGUGCAAGUUGUACCAUCAGCUCUCCUGGAUCUCCAACUUGCUGAUGACAGAUCUUAGGACAUCUUAGCCACCAUAAUCAGCUGGACACAAAGCAAAGUCCUGACCGGAGCUCCAAAGUGCCCAGACUCUGUUUGUUGUCCUCUGAGGUGGUUUCACAGCUCCUGUGUGGCUCAAGGACUAUGACAAGGAGAAACCUGGUCACAUCUCCUAGGUGUAUG